ACCAGACUCCUACGGGAGGCAGCAGUGGGGAAUAUUGCACAAUGGGGGGAACCCUGAUGCAGCGACGCCGCGUGGGUGAAGGAGCACCUCGGUGCGUAAAGCCCUCUCGGCAGGGAAGAAACAGACGGUACCUGACUAAGAAGCCCCGGCUAACUACGUGCCAGCAGCCGCGGUAAUACGUAGGGGGCAAGCGUUAUCCGGAUUCACUGGGUGUAAAGGGAGCGUAGACGGCGACGCAAGUCUGGAGUGAAAGCCCGGGGCCCAACCCCGGGACUGCUCUGGAAACUGCGGCGCUGGAGUGCAGGAGGGGCAGGCGGAAUUCCUGGUGUAGCGGUGAAAUGCGUAGAUAUCAGGAGGAACACCGGUGGCGAAGGCGGUUUACUGGACCACAACUGACGCUGAGACACGAAAGCGUGGGGAGCAAACAGGAUUAGAUACCCUCGUA
rnacentral:rRNA from 1 species